rnacentral:rRNA from 1 species
GACGAACGCUGGCGGCGUGCCUAACACAUGCAAGUCGAACGUGAUCCAGGAAGUAGUUUACUACGACCUGGUGAAAGUGGCGGACGGGUGAGUAACGCGUGGGUAACCUGGCCUAUGGAAGGGGAUAGCCUCGGGAAACCGGGAUUAAUACCGUAUAUAGUUGGAUGAUCGCAUGAUCGACCAAUGAAAAAUUUAUUGCCAUAGGAUGGACCCGCGUCCCAUUAGCUAGUUGGUGAGAUAACAGCUCACCAAGGCGACGAUGGGUAGCCGGCCUGAGAGGGCGAACGGCCACACUGGGACUGAGACACGGCCCAGACUCCUACGGGAGGCAGCAGUGGGGAAUAUUGCGCAAUGGGGGAAACCCUGACGCAGCAACGCCGCGUGAAUGAUGAAGGUCUUCGGAUCGUAAAGUUCUGUCGAAGGGGAAGAAAGAAAUGACGGUACCCUUAGAGGAAGCCCCGGCUAACUACGUGCCAGCAGCCGCGGUAAUACGUAGGGGACAAGCGUUGUCCGGAUUUACUGGGCGUAAAGGGCACGCAGGCGGUUUUUUAAGUCAGAUGUGAAAGGUCCCGGCUCAACCGGGGAACGGCAUUUGAAACUGGAGAACUUGAGUAUUGGAGAGGCAAGUGGAAUUCCUAGUGUAGCGGUGAAAUGCGUAGAGAUUAGGAGGAACACCAGUGGCGAAGGCGGCUUGCUGGACAAAUACUGACGCUGAGGUGCGAAAGCGUGGGGAGCAAACA